AAAAAAAUAAAAGCUUCCAGCUAUACUUAGCUAUUUUUAGGUUAAACAAAUCAUGUAAAAAACAAGUAGUUCUAUUGCCUCAAACAAUCACAGUGAGGCCAAAUGAACUUUAGCUUUUCCAUGGUCACUGAAGGGAAAUAGAAAAACAACUUUAUAUAUCAUUCCAGGUUAACAAACAAUUAUUUUCUUCAUAUUCAAGACAUCCAAUGCAAGCAAAUAGAGGUAGCUCUAAUGGGAAUCUAAUAAAUUAACCAAUAUGUUGCUCAUGGCUCAAUAUCUAGCGAGUGUAUCGCACCUCUUGAAUAUUCAAUAAAUUUCACAUAAGUACUAGCUAUAAAAUCAUGCUUUGACGUAUUUGAAUAUGAUGAUGAAGACAUAAGGUUCAAGCUUUAAAAUCAGAUCCAGUAUUUGAAUAUGAUGAUGAAGACAUAAGGUUCAAGCUUUAAAAUCAGAUCCAGUAUUUGAAUAUGAUGAUGAAGACAUAAGGUUCAAGCUUUAAAAUCAGAUCCAGUAAUUCGAUAUCUUGUUCAAGCUUUAAAACUUCUAUCUCGCGCGACCCCAAAACAAAGAAACACUUACGAAUUUCAAGUGGCGAAGAAUAGAAAUUAGAUCCCUACAUUGGUUCACAUUUAUUUUUUGAUAAUAUUUCGUGGAUAAUUUCGAUAUCUUCUCCUCGACAUUAUUGAAUGAGCCUAGUUUAAUAGUCUCAAGGGUGUAAAAUGGUGCAUUGUUUUAACAUAUGUGUUGAACAAGAAGACAUUUUAGCAAGUAUAGAAUGCUUUAGCAGUUUAAAGUAUAGAGAAAAAGAAUGGCCAGAAGAAGAAGCAGAAUGAACGAUCCAGAGAAUGUUUAUCCCAGACAACGCAGUGUAUAAUGUGAGCAUAUUUGUAGACUCAAGUAUUGCAC
rnacentral:lncRNA from 1 species